AUGGAAGGGCCAUCGCUCAACGGAUAAAAGGUACUCCGGGGAUAACAGGCUGAUACCGCCCAAGAGUUCAUAUCGACGGCGGUGUUUGGCACCUCGAUGUCGGCUCAUCACAUCCUGGGGCUGAAGUCGGUCCCAAGGGUAUGGCUGUUCGCCAUUUAAAGUGGUACGCGAGCUGGGUUUAGAACGUCGUGAGACAGUUCGGUCCCUAUCUGCCGUGGGCGUUGGAAGAUUGAAGGGGGCUGCUCCUAGUACGAGAGGACCGGAGUGGACGAACCUCUGGUGUUCGGGUUGUGUCGCCAGACGCAUUGCCCGGUAGCUAAGUUCGGAAUUGAUAAGCGCUGAAAGCAUCUAAGCGCGAAGCGAGCCCUGAGAUGAGUCUUCCCUGACAGUUUAACUGUCCUAAAGGGUUGUUCGAGACUAGAACGUUGAUAGGCAGGGUGUGUAAGCGUUGUGAGGCGUUGAGCUAACCUGUACUAAUUGCCCGUGAGGCUUAACCAUACAACACCCAAGGGGUUUUGUA
rnacentral:rRNA from 1 species